GUGAAGUUCGGGGUGCUAUACAUGCAGUCGAGCGAACAGAGAAGGAGCUUGCUCCUUUGACGUUAGCGGCGGACGGGUGAGUAACACGUGGGCAACCUACCUUAUAGUUUGGGAUAACUCCGGGAAACCGGGGCUAAUACCGAAUAAUCUGUUCCACCUCAUGGUGGAACACUGAAAGACGGUUUCGGCUGUCGCUAUAAGAUGGGCCCGCGGCGCAUUAGCUAGUUGGUGAGGUAACGGCUCACCAAGGCGACGAUGCGUAGCCGACCUGAGAGGGUGAUCGGCCCCAAUGGGACUGAGACACGGCCCAGACUCCUACGGGAGGCAGCAGUAGGGAAUCUUCCACAAUGGGCGAAAGCCUGAUGGAGCAACGCCGCGUGAGUGAAGAAGGUUUUCGGAUCCUAAAACUCUGGUGUAAGGGAAGAACAAGUACAGUAGUAACUGGCUGUACCUUGACGGUACCUUAUUAGAAAGCCACGGCUAACUACGUGCCAGCAGCCGCGGUAAUACGUAAGUGGCAAGCGUUUUCCGGAAUUAUGGGGCGUAAAGCGCGCGCAGG
rnacentral:rRNA from 1 species